rnacentral:tRNA from 1 species
AGUAAAGGCAGCUUAAAAAGCUAUCGGGCCCAUACCCCGAAAAUGAUGGUUUAACCCCUUCCUUUACUA